rnacentral:lncRNA from 1 species
AAAAACAAAUAAAAAGAUUGGAGAGGUCCAUUGCUCAUCACUUGCAUUCAGAAAUACAAUCAACAUGCACACUACAAUUUUUCCAUAAUUCCAUUCAAAACAAGACCGUGCAUAGCGUUUCCAGCCACAUGAACUAAAGGGCAACACCACAUAACUUUCUAACACUACCAAGAACCAAUAUCUGAAUCCUAGUCCAGUUUGCCUGUGCUGCUUGCAAUCAUUUCACCAAUUUCUAUGACUUUUGCAUCUUCACUUCUAAAUCUUUAGCAGCUGUGCCAUUUCCAACUCCAGAUUCUUGGCAUGGAUUGCAAUCUGCUACACAUGAACGCACCAUCACUCAGAUUAGCAAACAGUAGAAGUAAAACGAAAAGAAAAUCCCCAUGAUGCUCCUUCAGAUUCUUAGAAAGUGCAUUGUGGCUGGUCUACAGAGCUUGUACUAAAAUAUAUUCAUAGAUUUUCCAUUAGCAACAUGGAGCAGCUAUUAUCCCCUACUGGGUUGAUGUCUCUCAUUUGUUCCAAGUUUAAAACAUAUGUAAUACAAGAAAUACAUGAUCCACGAAGAAAUACAUGAUCCAUAACAAUCAUAGUUUAGGUGAUCAGAAUGUGGAUAGCCAUCUACGUGCAGUGGCUAAAAGCAUAAUUCAGUGAAGGUCAUGAUCGCCUUGCCUUUGAAACUUCAUAAAGCAGGGAUUCUUUCCAUGGCUGAGGCCUAUGCAGAAGUCAGGACUGGCUGCCAACAUGUACAUCGAUCUGCAAGCAUCAGGCAGAAUUAAGAAUGUUAAUCAAGUCACCGCGUGCACAAAAUAAGGGGAUUAGUUGCUGUUGCAGGCUCGUUUCUGGCCCCGUUGGCCUGUUAGUGAUGAAUCAACAGCUGCAUACCUGGAAUUACACGCCUGUAUGCUUCUGCAUCAGCCAAAAUCUUGAUGCUGAACGUGAGGGGAAAGUUGUGAGUGACGCUAACAGAGCACCCAAGCUCAGGCAGAGUAUUCUUCUGCCGAUCUGGCCAAUUCACAGCCGGUGAGGCUCUCCUUGUGCUGCUGCCGAACCGUCGUGAGCACCUCUUCUGUACCGUGGCCUCCUAGCCAUUUGGCUUCAUUGCAUAAUUUACUGACAGCAAAACACAAACGACAGGCUGAUUUGAGGGGGCCAAAUACCGUCGAUCUGAAGCAACUUUCACCACGAUGGAGCUCAGAAUCAGAGCUGUUGCACAUUAAGAAACUCAAACGAGGAACAGUGAAAUUGUAACAUUUAACAAACAAAAUUAUAUGCGGAACACAAAAUUCAUAGAGUAAGCAUGACCAGAUCCUACAAUACAUUCCUCGGAGACUACACCAUGAAUCUGGCAUGAUUUGUUGUAGGUGAAGUUACCACAACAACCCCCCAAAAAAAUCAGUCCAAAGCUUAUUUCCCAACAAAAAAAUUUCACAAUGUUUGGAAGUCCAAAGCUUCAGAACAGUUGGAAUGAUUAGGAAAGUAUAUUGAUCCAAACUUAUUAAUAUCAGUGAAUCAAACCAACCAGAUCUGAACCUAGCAGGCUAGCAGAUUUGGAUUGGCAAAUCUAAUCAGUAUAUAUGUCUUAGGAGCGGUGGCAUUAGCUCUGAUAUUUCUUUCAGGAUACCAUGCUAAUCUUAAGAUGAAGAUACCAUUCGUUCAAGUACAGGGAAACAAAAGAUAAUCAACCCCUGGUUCUGGUAAAUUAUCAUUAUUAUUCUAAUUGAUCUAAAACUAUAGUAUCAUUAUGCAUCUGAAGAAUCUGAACAAAAGUAGUUUUUCAGGAAAGAAACCUUAUUAGAUAUAGUUUACGUCUCUGAAAGUAAACAUGUUGAAUACCUGAAUCAGUUUUAUUUAAGCAAAUCACUAAUGAGUAUUUUCAACAUUCAAGAAACAACGGUGAUGGCAUUUAUUUGGAACAUUAGCUAAAGAUGAGCUGAUAAUACACUGGCGUGCCGUAAAGCUCACGGAAAUCAGUACAUUCAUAUGGACAUAAAGUUAUAAAACAUGCUAGUUUUACUAGGCAAUUAAGCUCACCUCCGCCUCAGUUGUUGCCAAAAAAUAAAAGAGCAGUGCAAAGUUCAGGAAUAAUCUCCAAUGUUAUGAAGGAGCUCAAAACUCCAUAUAACAUUGUCAAAAAGGGAUAAUUUCCAACAUUUCUAAAACUAGUUCAGGAAAUGAAAGGUAAGAUUCUAUUCUUAUGAGAUAAUCCUAAAAUAAUUAAUUGCAUGGCUACAGGAAACAAGCAGCAAUUACCAUGCAGAAGGACAUAUUGGCUAUUGCACAUAAUCACACCGAGGGACAUAUGAGAUGGUAAGGUAAAAAAAAAACCUUUAUUCUAGAUGUCCUGCUGGGCUGUAUCCCCUUUUGCCCUGAUUCUCCAAUGUUAUAUAUGGGAUAAUUUAUAUUGCAAACAUGAACCUGUCAGCACGACUGCAUCACAAGGAAGAGGGGAUUAGCAUGCAUGCAACAAUCUACAGAAAAAUAACAGAGAGGCAAUACAUUGCGAGAUGGGAAAUCACUGCUAGUUUAAUUAACACGAAAGAUUUGGUUACAAAACAGCAAUUACCAUGCAGAAGGGAUUAACGGAGGAAAUAAGAUCCACCUCUCCAGUGGUGUUAGAUCUACACAAAGGAGCACAGAUUAAAAUUGGAAAUAGGAUUAAUUGCACAAAAAUCUCUGGCAAGAUCAAUUUCAUCAGAAAAAUUCCAGACCUCAUGCAGUCUCAGCAGCGUGCCAUCAUGGAUGUCUUCCAGCAUAAUUGACUAGAUACGGCCGCACAUGCCCCAGCAACAUUCGUGUGACAUAAAUCCAAAAUUGACAGAGUCAAAAAUAUUUUUAGGCAUCCAAAUCAAAUUCACCAACAUCAAACACCUGCUCACCUGAUUGCCGGGAGCGUCGCUGUUGCCGCAUGUGCUCGCGUCUGCACGGACAAGGCGCAAGAACCUGGAGACACGCAGAUGACCAUGAGUGCAAGAACGAGUAGGUGAGCGUGCUGUUAAUGGCAAGAAUCCCAGCGGAGAGAAGGCAUCUAACAGUAGCACCUAUGCCUGAAUUCCAUAGGAAAGAAAUCCAAAAACAUCUGCAUGCACAUAAGCACAAAAGUUUUGAAUCCUUGAACUAGAUUUGGAUGGGGGCACACAGAUUGCACUAACCUGGAGCUCCCUUCGUGAUGCAGGGCAUCUCCGGAGCCACUGAGCACUUGCGGCCCGC